GACGAACGCUGGCGGCGUGCCUAAUACAUGCAAGUUGAGCGCUGAAGGUUGGUCCUUGUACCAACUGGAUGAGCAGCGAACGGGUGAGUAACGCGUGGGGAAUCUGCCUUUGAGCGGGGGACAACAUUUGGAAACGAAUGCUAAUACCGCAUAAAAACUUUAAACACAAGUUUUAAGUUUGAAAGAUGCAAUUGCAUCACUCAAAGAUGAUCCCGCGUUGUAUUAGCUAGUUGGUGAGGUAAAGGCUAACCAAGGCGAUGAUACAUAGCCGACCUGAGAGGGUGAUCGGCCACAUUGGGACUGAGACACGGCCCAAACUCCUACGGGAGGCAGCAGUAGGGAAUCUUCGGCAAUGGACGAAAGUCUGACCGAGCAACGCCGCGUGAGUGAAGAAGGUUUUCGGAUCGUAAAACUCUGUUGGUAGAGAAGAACGUUGGUGAGAGUGGAAAGCUCAUCAAGUGACGGUAACUACACAGAAAGGGACGGCUAACUACGUG
rnacentral:rRNA from 1 species